AAAUAGAUAAAUUCUUCUUCCUCCAUGCUUUCUUUCAAAGGGAGUCCAUACUGGAUGGCACCCGAGGUUGUAAUGAAUACAAAUGGCUAUAGUCUUCCUGUUGAUAUAUGGAGUUUGGGAUGCACAAUUCUUGAAAUGGCAACAUCAAAGCCUCCUUGGAAUCAGUAUGAAGGGGUAGCUGCAAUAUUUAAAAUUGGUAACAACAGAGAUAU